AUGGUUUGCUGUGGCGGUUCUUGUGGGGUGGAGGGUUGCUGCUAGGGUCCGGUGAGGCCAUCAACUCCGGCAGUAAUCUUCUCCAGCAGUAAAACACCAGUUGGGGCAUCUGGAUUGAGCUAAGGUUUUGUUGAGUGUAGUGCUUCUUUGAUAGUUGACGGCAUAGAACUUCUUGGGUUGUAAGAUUCAGAAUUUUGCUGUCAUACCUCAAGGACUUUGAUAUGGGAUGAUCAUCACGACGUGGGAUUUAUUCUGGACACGGUCGACAAAUUAAGGCGGGUAUUU